rnacentral:rRNA from 1 species
UACGUAGGGUGCAAGCGUUAAUCGGAAUACUGGGCGUAAAGCGUGCGCAGGCGGUUUUGUAAGUCUGUCGUGAAAUCCCCGGGCUCAACCUGGGAAUGGCGAUGGAGACUGCAAGGCUAGAGUUUGGCAGAGGGGGGUAGAAUUCCACGUGUAGCAGUGAAAUGCGUAGAUAUGUGGAGGAACACCGAUGGCGAAGGCAGCCCCCCUGGGUCAAAAACUGACGCUCAUGCACGAAAGCGUGGGGAGCAAACAGG